rnacentral:rRNA from 1 species
UACGUAGGCGGAAAAUUAAGUCAGUAGUGAAAUCCCGCAGCUUAACUGUAGAACUGUUAUUGAUACUGGUUUUCUUGAAUAUAGUUGAAGUAGGCGGAAUGUGUAAUGUAGCGGUGAAAUGCUUAGAUAUUACACAGAACACCGAUUGCGAAGGCAGCUUACUAAGCUAUGAUUGACGCUGAGGUACGAAAGCGUGGGGAGCGAACAGGAUUAGAUACCCUGGUAGUC